AACCCAAGUGUUAAGCUUAGUUCAAGGAUGCUUCCCUGUUCUGGUAAUUAAAAUGUGUUACUGUAAAACAUGGACUGAGCAAGAAAAUUGAGUAGAAAGUAGUACUCUAUUCAUUUCCUUUCCAGCUACAAAU